UCAGUUCAGAUCGUAGGCUGCAACUCGCCUACGUGAAGUAGGAAUCGCUAGUAAUCGCAGGUCAGCAUACUGCGGUGAAUACGUUCCCGGGCCUUGUACACACCGCCCGUCACACCAUGGAAGUUGGCCACGCCCGAAGUCGUUACUUUAACCCUUGUGGAGAAGGACGCCGAAGGUGGGGCUGAUGACUGGGGUGAAGUCGUAACAAGGUAGCCGUACCGGAAGGUGCGGCUGGAUCACCUCCUAA
rnacentral:rRNA from 1 species